rnacentral:rRNA from 1 species
GUCUUUUUGAUUAAUAAUUUAAAGUCUAAUCUGCCCACUGAUAAUAUAUUAAAGGGCUGCAGUAUUUUGACUGUACAAAGGUAGCAUAAUCAUUAGUCUCUUAAUUGGUGACUUGUAUGAAAGAUUUAAUGAAAUAUAUACUGUCUCUUUUUAAUUUAUAAAAUUUAAUUUUUUAGUUAAAAAGCUAAAAUGUAUUUAAAAGACGAGAAGACCCUAUAGAGUUUAAUAUUUAAUUAAAUUAAAAUUUUUUAUAAGAUUUAAAAUUUUAAUUUUAGUAAAUAUUUUGUUGGGGUGACAAAAAAAUUAAAAAAACUUUUUUUAUAAAUUUACAUAAAUAAAUGAGUAAGUGAUCCGUAAUUUACGAUUAAAAGAAAAAAUUACCUUAGGGAUAACAGCGUAAUUUUUUUUUUUAGUUCAAAUAAGAAAAAAAGUUUGCGACCUCGAUGUUGGAUUAAGAUAAAAUUUAAAUGCAAAAGUUUAAAAUUUUUGAUCUGUUCGAUCAUUAAAAUCUUACA